UACGAAGGGGGCUAGCGUUGCUCGGAUUGACUGGGCGUAAAGGGCGCGUAGGCGGUUCGUACAGUCAGACGUGAAAUUCCUGGGCUCAACCUGGGGGCUGCGUUUGAUACGUGCGGGCUUGAGUGCGGAAGAGGGUCGUGGAAUUCCCAGUGUAGAGGUGAAAUUCGUAGAUAUUGGGAAGAACACCGGUGGCGAAGGCGGCUACCUGGACCGAUAUUGACGCUGAGGAGCGAAAGCCAGGGAGCAAACGGG
rnacentral:rRNA from 1 species